AUUGAACGCUGGCGGCAUGCCUUACGCAUGCAAGUCGAACGGCAGCACGGGAGCAAUCCUGGUGGCGAGUGGCGAACGGGUGAAUAAUGUAUCGGAACGUACCUUUCAGUGGGGGAUAACGUAGCGAAAGUUACGCUAAUACCGCAUAUUCUGUGAGCAGGAAAGCAGGGGAUCGCAAGACCUUGCGCUGAUUGAGCGGCCGAUAUCAGAUUAGCUAGUUGGUGAGGUAAAGGCUCACCAAGGCGACGAUCUGUAGCGGGUCUGAGAGGAUGAUCCGCCACACUGGAACUGAGACACGGUCCAGACUCCUACGGGAGGCAGCAGUGGGGAAUUUUGGACAAUGGGCGCAAGCCUGAUCCAGCCAUGCCGCGUGAGUGAAGAAGGCCUCGGUUG
rnacentral:rRNA from 1 species